GACGAACGCUGGCGGCGUGCUUAACACAUGCAAGUCGAACGGAAAGUCCCUGCUUGCCGGGUACUCGAGUGGCGAACGGGUGAGUAACACGUGGGGGAUCUGCCCUGCACUUCGGGAUAAGCCUGGGAAACUGGGUCUAAUACCGGAUAGUAGCCAUUUUUAGUGUGAUGGUUGGAAAGUUUUUUCGGUGUAGGAUGAGCUCGCGGCCUAUCAGCUUGUUGGUGGGGUAAUGGCCUACCAAGGCGGCGACGGGUAGCCGGCCUGAGAGGGUGGACGGCCACAUUGGGACUGAGAUAGAGACCAGACGCCUACGGGAGGCAGCAGGGGGGAAUAUUGAACAAUGGGAGCAAGCCAGAUGCAGCGACGCCGCGGGGGGGAUGACGGACUUCGGGUUGUAAAUUCAGUUCGCUAGGGACGAAGCUUUUUGUGACGGUACCUAGAGAAGAAGCACCGGCUAACUACGUG
rnacentral:rRNA from 1 species